rnacentral:rRNA from 1 species
UACGUAGGGACCGAGCGUUGUCCGGAUUCAUUGGGCGUAAAGAGCUCGUAGGCGGCCACUCAAGUCGAAUGUGAAACCUCGAGGCUUAACCUCGAGCCUGCAUUUGAUACUGGGCGGCUAGAGUCUGGUAGGGGGAUCUGGAAUUCCUGGUGUAGCGGUGGAAUGCGCAGAUAUCAGGAGGAACACCGGUGGCGAGGGCGGGAUCCUGGGCCAGUACUGACGCUGAGGAGCGAAAGCGUGGGGAGCAAACAGG